rnacentral:rRNA from 1 species
UACGUAGGGGGCAAGCGUUGUCCGGAAUUAUUGGGCGUAAAGGUACGCGUGUAGGCGGUCCGGUAAGUCGGCUGUGAAAAUGGUCCAGGGCUCAAACCCCUGGGAUGCCCGGUCGAUACUGCCCGGACUAGAGUUCGGAAGAGGCGAGUGGAAAUUCCCGGUGUAGCGGUGGAAAUGACGCAGAUAUCGGGAGGAACACCAAUGGCGAAGGCAGCUCGCUGGGACGUUACUGACGCUGAGACGCGAAAAGCGUGGGGAGCAAAGCAGGAUU